GCAUAUCAAUAAGCGGGAGGAAAAAGAAAAUAACAAUGAUUUCCCUAGUAACGGCGAGUGAAGAGGAAAGAGCUCAAAGUUGGAACCUGUUUGGCUUAGCUAAACCGGAUUGUAAACUGUAGAAACAUUUUCCAGAUACACUAGACAAAAAAGUCCUUUGGAACAGGGCAUCAUAGAGGGUGAGAAUCCCGUCUUUGGUCUAAGUAGUUGUCUAUUGUGAUAUGUUUUCAAAGAGUCAGGUUGUUUGGGAAUGCAGCCUAAAUUGGGUGGUAAAUCUCACCUAAAGCUAAAUAUUUGCGAGAGACCGAUAGCGAACAAGUACCGUGAGGGAAAGAUGAAAAGAACUUUGAAAAGAGAGUUAAACAGUAUGUGAAAUUGUUAAAAGGGAACCGUUUGGAGCCAGAUUGGCUUGAUUGUAAUCAACCUAGAAUUCGUUUUGGGUGCACUUGCAGUCUAUGCCUGCCAACGACAGUUUGAUUUGGAGGAAAAAAUUAAUAGGAAUGUGGCCUUUCGAGGUGUUAUAGCCUAUUAUCAUACUCUGGAUUGGACUGAGGAACGCAGCGAAUGCCUUUAGGCAAGAUUGCUGGGCGCUUUCGCUAAUAAAUGUUAGAAUUUCUGCUUCGGGUGGUGCUAAUGUUUAAAGGAGGAACCCGUUUAGUAUAUUUUAUCGC
rnacentral:rRNA from 1 species